rnacentral:lncRNA from 1 species
UUCGUGAUAAUUGUCAUGUUCAUGAUGUUCUAUUUGAUGUCAUUUGCUCCAUAACCUGGAAAUGCCCUCCACCUGUUCGAUGUAAUAAACCAAUGUCGGCCCUGUCCUUAUUGAAGAAAAGAAAAUGGACCUUCGAGGCAUGUAGAAGUCCUUGAAUUGGAUAGCUAUGGAGUAUCUGUUUAUUUUGAUAUGAAAAGAUCGAAGCUCGGCCUUUAGCUAAGGAAGACGAUACAUGGUUAGACUUUGUUCUGUGGAGAUACCGGUGC